rnacentral:rRNA from 1 species
CCCUUAGAUGUUCGGGGCCGCACGCGCGCCACACUGACAUGUUCAACAAGUUUCUCCUAGUUCGACAGGACUGGGAAAUCUUUGAACGCAUGUCGUGAUAGGGAUAGAUCAUUGCAAUUAUUGAUCUUGAACGAGGAAUUCCUAGUAAACGCGAGUCAUCAGCUCGCAUUGAUUACGUCCCUGCCCUUUGUACACACCGCCCGUCGCACCUACCGAUUGAAUGUUUCGGUGAAGAUUCCGGAUAGGACUGAUUUGAUUUAUUUCAUUUCUGACCUAAAAGCUAUCUAAACCUCAACAUUUAGAGGAAGGUGAAGUCGUAACA